rnacentral:rRNA from 1 species
UACAGAGGGGUGCAAGCGUUGUUCGGGAAUUAUUGGGCGUAAAAGCGCGUGGUAAGGCGGCUUUGCAAGUCGGGUGUGAAAGCCCUCAGCUUCAACUGAGGAAUGUGCGCCCGAAACUGACAGAGCUUGAGUGCCGGAGAGGGUGGCGGAAAUUCCCCAAGUAGAGGUGAAAUUCGUAGGAUAUGGGGAGGAACACCGGUGGCGAAGGCGGCCACCUGGACGGUAACUGACGCUGAGACGCGAAAGCGUGGGGAGCAAACAGG